rnacentral:tRNA from 1 species
GCGUUUAUAGCUCAGUUGGUUAGAGCACCACCUUGACAUGGUGGGGGUCGUUGGUUCGAGUCCAUUCAGACGCACCA